UACGGGGGGGCAAGCGUUGUUCGGAAUUACUGGGCGUAAAGGGCGCGUAGGCGGCUUUUCAAGUCGGGCGUGAAAUCUCCGGGCUUAACCCGGAAGGGUCGUUCGAUACUGUUGAGCUAGAGUGUGGAAGAGGCAACUAGAAUUCCGUGUGUAGCGGUGAAAUGCGUAGAUAUACGGAGGAAUACCUGAGGCGAAGGCGGGUUGCUGGGCCAACACUGACGCUGAGGCGCGAAAGCCAGGGGAGCAAACGGGG
rnacentral:rRNA from 1 species